GGUCCCUCGAGCACUUUUUCCCAGUCUCGCCGUGACGUCACGCGCACUAUCCCUGCUCACGCUCGCUUGCUGUGAGCGCGUGGUCCUGGUCGCGAGCACAUGGAAGUAUAAGCUCGAGCCGUUUCUGUUGAGACGCGCCUCCGAUCGUCAACAUCUUGCAAAUAAUUAAGAAGAAAGGAAAAACAAACCCGGGAUAUGAUCACAAAGAGGAGCGUCUGGAGCCGCCUGAGCUGAGACAAAGCAGCGGCUUUUUAAACUAACUCUUCCCCUCUAGAUGCACGAACAGGCUGCUGCUGCUGCUGCUGCUGCUGCUGCUGGGGACACGGUAGCUCACCGCUGCAGCUUCACCGCCGCAGCUUCACUUAGAAGAAUAUUAAGGACUCCGGACUAAAUGGGAAGGAUGCAAAGAUGGAAGCAGACAGUACUGGAUUCACUUUCACAGCAUCUUUCAGAAGCAGACAUACACACAAACCAGCUUUAAUAGUACUUACUUCCCCUUUUUUUUUCUUGACAGGACAUAUACACCCUAAAUGGGCCCCCCUGUGGUUCAUUGGGUUUGGGAAGUACCUAGUAGUACAACUGUCACAGUUGCUCUUAAAGGGACAGCGGGGUGUUUUAUUUACAUUGACCACAGCUCAUGUCUUUGAAUGGUUAAACCUUUUUUAAGUGUACAUUAAUGUGUGUAAUUGCAGCGACUAUGAAGAUUUUGAAAUGCAACACCUGCCAAUCAACAUCUAACUAUAUAUGGACACAAGAGAAAAGGGGAGGGAUUUCUUUGCGGCCAUUCCUGAACCCACGUGCAUUAAAACGUGUCAAUUUUCUGCAUUUUUGGCACCUCUUACUGUUAAAUGUUGGAAGAUGCAGCACACUUUUAUGAAUAAAAUUCUCAGUAUA